GGUAGAAUGGCUGAGUAAGCAUUAGACUGUAAAAUCUAAAGACAGAGGAAUUCCUCUUUUUUACCA
rnacentral:tRNA from 1 species